rnacentral:rRNA from 1 species
CCUACGGGUGGCAGCAGUGAGGAAUAUUGGUCAAUGGCCGUAAGGCUGAACCAGCCAAGCCGCGUGAAGGAAGAAGGACCUAUGGUUUGUAAACUUCUUUUAUAGGGGAAUAAAGGUAUCCACGUGUGGAUUUUUGCAUGUACCCUAUGAAUAAGCAUCGGCUAACCCCGUGCCAGCAGCCGCGGUAAUACGGUGGAUGCGAGCGUUAACCGGAUUUAUUGGGUUUAAAGGGUGCGUAGGUUGUUUGUUAAGUCAGCGGUGAAAGUUUGUGGCUCAACCAUGGAAUUGCAGUUGAAACUGGAAGGCUUGAGUGUGUUUGAGGUAGGCAGAAUGCGUGGUGUAGCGGUGAAAUGCGUAGAUAUCAGGCAGAACUCCGGUUGCGAAGGCGGCUUACUAGGCAAUAACUGACGCUGAAGCGCGAAAGCGUGGGGAGCAAACAGGAUUAGAUACCCCAGUAGUC